rnacentral:tRNA from 1 species
GCGAAAGUGGCGGAAUUGGCAGACGCGCCGGACUUAGGAUCCGGUACCCGCGAGGGUGUGGGGGUUCAAAUCCCCCCUUUCGCACCA